AUGGAGAGCGCAGUUACUAUUCUAAUGCAAUGACUUAAAAUAAUUAAGCAACAUAAAUUAUGCAUGUUGGGAUUAAGGUGCAAUGUUUUCCCAAAUAUAAGCCACGCGCUUCAUGAAUGAUUAACCGAAAUAGUUAACAUGAAAACCAGUAAGUCAGCUGAGAAGAAAUUGUGGAUCCACCGCAGUGGAGGAGCGCAGGAAGGCGCCUACAGACUCCCUAGUGCUUUAGUCCAAGGUAGAAUUGUGAGGGCCACCAGCAACACAUGUAAGGUGUUUGGACCUUACCCACGGCAAGAAACUAAGGAAACCAGAAACAGUACCAAUUACUAGAAAAUUUUAAGAAGCCUGAGGCAUACGAAAAACUUUAUUUUGUUUUUUGCUCUAAGGAUUAUUUUAACUGUAAGAAAACUUAUGUUCCAAAUUACAUGUGAAGACAUUAAGCGUUGACAUUUAAACUAAUGCGUCAUCUAGAACUCUAGCAUUUGAGGACAUUAAAGGCAUUUUUGUCCUUCUGUACUGUAGGAGAAAAUCACGACAUUUCACCAGGCUACUCAGGAAUACUGUGGUUUCAUUUUAUGGUGCUCAGGUGUUUUAAAAUUAUACAUCAAAACCAAGUGUUCAGCAAUGCCAAAAGGGAUGAAAUGAAGCUUUUUUCUUUCUAUAGUUGAAAAAUUCCUUCAAGCAAGUGCUGACAUGUUUCCAUCGAAACUGUACAUUUUUUCAGUGGAAUGGCAAAAGCAAAGCUGCUUCCUAAUCCGUUUUGCUCUUUAAAAUAAUUUUCAAAAAUUAUCACAUAUCUAGCCUGGAAGUUUUCCAUCUUGCAGCAGUGCACCUCAGGAAGAUGACAGGUGCAAAGUCUGCCUUUCUGUAUGAAUUGGGAGAAUGGCCAUCAUGAGAGAGGAGAUGGGACGGCCCAACCAGCUUCAUGUCUUCCAUGGCUUGGCACCUUCUAAGGCUAGUCAGUUUUAGGUGACUGUGUAUGUAAGUUGAGGGUCUGGAAGUGGAUUCCCUUAAAACCAUCCUGUGCCUGCAUAUCCCUUGAAAAAUAUUUCUGUACAUGUACAUGGGUACCUGUAGCAAGCUAGGUCAAAGAACACUGUACCUAAAACAUACUUGUUUGGAAAACUGUAAUGUCAAAGAGUCAAAACUUUAUAGUAAGUAGUGCCUGGCUGUAUAACAAAUAUGUUGUGUCACACUGGACAAGUCACUUGACCCCUUGGGUCUAUGCCUUUGUCCCUGAUUUAAGGCUAACACAUCUUUUUGCACAGAGUGGCUGGGAGGAUGAAAUGGGUAAUAAAUUAAUCCAGCAAU
ensembl:lncRNA novel transcript, antisense to ARHGEF7